ensembl:snRNA U6 U6 spliceosomal RNA
GGGCUCACUUUGGCCCCACAUAUACUAAAACUGGAACAAUACAGAGGUUAGCAUGGCCCCAUGCGAAGAUGAUAUGCCAACUUAUGAGGCUAUUUUUACUGUU